GCUGAUUGGAGGGCUCAAGGAAAGUUAUUGGUACGUGGGGAGAAGAAGUUUUGCUGUGUUGCUGUAAGAUUACUACCAGGGGAAGCUAAAUCCCAGCUCUAGAGAGGUUUUCGAACUACCUGGGGCUGAGUUGGUGACCCGGGAGACUAGUUUGGAAGGUGUUCCAACUGAGGCGAGAGUGCGAUCGACUCUUGGAGUGACUUUAGCUGACUUGUGAGAACUCUUGAAGACUCAACUUGAGGAUUGGGACCUCGUUGGACUGAUUAUUGGGACAUUUUGUGACUGAGUUGAGCUUAGUAUGAGGUGGGUUUGACCUAACCAGAACAAGUGGAGCUUCCCUAUGUUCUAUAUGUGCUAUAGACUUAAUACCGUUGUAUGAUUCCGUGAGUGUUAUAGAACU